GCCUGGGUGGCUCAGUCGGUUGAGCAUCUGACUUUGGCUCAGGUCAUGAUGUCGCGGUCCGUGAGUUCGAGCCCCGCGUCGGGUU
rnacentral:tRNA from 1 species